rnacentral:rRNA from 1 species
GUCCACGCCGUAAACGAUGAUUACUCGUUGCAAGCGAUAUACUGUUUGUGACUGAGCGAAAGCAUUAAGUAAUCCACCUGGGGAGUACGUUGGCAACGAUGAAACUCAAAGGAAUUGACGGGGGCCCGCACAAGCGGAGGAACAUGUGGUUUAAUUCGAUGAUACGCGAGGAACCUUACCUGGAUUUAAAUGUGCUUGACCGCCUCAGAAAAGGGGUUUUCCGCAAGGACAAGUACAAGGUGCUGCAUGGUUGUCGU